rnacentral:piRNA from 1 species
UGUGCACCGGCCAAGCUAAAUUGUUGGG